rnacentral:rRNA from 1 species
AGCCAAACGGCCGCGCGGAUCUUGACCGUGCAAAGGUAGCAUAAUCAUUUGUCUUUUAAAUGGAGACUCGUAUGAACGGCGAAACCUUUUUUAACUGUCUCCCCUCCUGCCCUUACAAAUUUCCCUCUGUGUGAAGAGGCACAGAUACUAUAGAAAGACGAGAAGACCCUGUCGAGCUUCAGUCUAUAAGUGAACACUCUUUGCAGUCACCCAAAGACUUUGGUUGGGGCAACCCUGGAGAAAAAAAAUCCUCCAGAAACAAUAGAAGAAACCCCUUCUCUAUUUUCACUACUAAGAACCAGAACCUGGUAUACGGAAAAAGUUACCGCAGGGAUAACAGCGUCAUCCCCUCUAAGAGUCCUUAUUGACGAGGGGGUUUGCGACCUCGAUGUUGGAUUAGGGCUCCCUUAGGGUGCAGAAGCUCUAAAAGGUUAGACUGUUCGUCUAUUAAAGCCCC